rnacentral:rRNA from 1 species
GCCGACCGGUCUGCCGAUGGGUACGCACUGGUCGGCGCGUCCUUCCUUCCGGAGACCGUCCCUACUCUUAACUGAGCGGGGGCGGGAGACGGAACGUUUACUUUGAAAAAAUCAGAGUGUUUCAAGCAGGCAGUGCGCUCUUGCAUGGAUUAGCAUGGGAUAAUGAAAUAGGACUUUGGUGCUAUUUUGUUGGUUUCGAACACCGAAGUAAUGAUUAAAAGGGACAGUCAGGGGCACUCGUAUUCCGCCGAGAGAGGUGAAAUUCUCAGACCAGCGGAAGACGAACCACUGCGAAAGCAUUUGCCAGGGAUGUUUUCACUGAUCAAGAACGAAAGUUAGGGGAUCGAAGACGAUCAGAUACCGUCGUAGUCUUAACCAUAAACCAUACCGACUAGGGAUUGGAAGAUGUUCACAUAUCGACUCUUUCAGCACCUUACGGGAAACUAAAGUCUUUGGGUUCCGGGGGGAGUAUGGUCGCAAGGCUGAAACUUAAAGGAAUUGACGGAAGGGCACCACCGGGUGUGGAGCCUGCGGCUUAAUUUGACUCAACACGGGGAAACUUACCAGGUCCAGACAUUGUGAGGAUUGACAGAUUGAGAGCUCUUUCUUGAUUCGAUGGGUGGUGGUGCAUGGCCGUUCUUAGUUGGUGGAGUGAUUUGUCUGGUUAAUUCCGUUAACGAACGAGGCCUUAGCCUGCUANAUAGUGACGCGAACACUUCGUUCGCGGGCCACUUCUUAGAGGGACAACUUGUCUUCAACAAGUGGAAGUUUGAGGCAAUAACAGGUCUGUGAUGCCCUUAGAUGUUCUGGGCCGCA